AUUAUCAUCCUCUUCUGCAAUCCAUCUCUACGCCGUUACAUCAGGCUCCAUCAUCCUCUACCUUCUUGUGCCUUGAUUUAGGUAUCCUUGUUCUUGGGCUUUGAUUCCCAAACCGGUGACCACACGCUGGUCAGACUCGCUUUGUCUCGUACCCCUCAUGACUCUCACGUGGCUCACAUUUAGCCACCGGGUUUGGAGGAUUAUCUCGGCUUCUACUGACCUAUAUAGCUUGUGUGAUAGUGAUAAAUUUGAUGGUAGGGACAUGCUUGGCGGGAUUGUUUUUUGUUGUGCCCGACGCAAAGUGGACGACAUUUGCGGUUCUUGGUACUACUAUUUUGUGCUCUCCUUUGAUUUUUUCUGAGAGAAGUUUGAUGAGGUAAUGCUUCCCGAGUGUUUGGCUCGUUCCUCCUCUGAUUGCGUCUUGCUUUGUGUCGUCAAAGGUGGUAGCCACCGCCCUGCUGUGAGCCCUUUUCUUAUAGUCUGCCACUUCCCUCGGAUGAAUGGGAGGCCAUCCUCUUGUCAAAUUUGGGAGUUGACAAAGUUUGAUAGAGUGCAAUUUUGGAGCAACAUCUAUGAUUUUUCAAUCGAUGAAUUAGGCAUCUAUCCACACUUCUUUUACAGCGUGGGCGGCGUCAUGAUUAGAAACAGAAGAGGGUCACUGCUGAUAAUUGUUCAGGGGCAAUUAGUCUAUUCCUUAGACCUUGAGACACAGAUCCUUAUACAACUUCCAAUUGCAGAGGGGGGUUUAUGGACUCUAUACCCUGCUUAUUACGCUGAGAGCCUGUUUCUACUUGACAAGGUAGAUGAUAUUUUGUCCUAUUGAAAAGCUUGAAGUGGUAGGACCUGGUGGAUCACCCGAUGGGCAUGCUGAUGAUGAUCACCAUUGAUUGCAAUCCUUCAAUUAAAUCUGGAAUAAAUUCUGGAAAGAUGGAGAGACAUUGUUUAGCAUACACUCUGGCCUUUCAAAAUCCUGUGGCCUAUGUUUGAUUUUGAUUUGUCUAUACCUUGUUGUGUUGCAACUUUUGAGAUAGAAAGUUUAUGCAAUUAUUUGAACGCAGGAUGCUCAUUUGCUUGAGCUACCAAUUCUGUUAGACAAUGUUUUGUGCGUUGUGAAAUAAUUGAUAGAACUUGACGAUUUUUUA